rnacentral:rRNA from 1 species
AUUGAACGCUGGCGGAAUGCUUUACACAUGCAAGUCGAGCGGCAGCGCGGCCUUCGGGCUGGCGGCGAGCGGCGAACGGGUGAGUAAUGCAUCGGAACAUGCCCAGUCGUGGGGGAUAACACUUCGAAAGAAGUGCUAAUACCGCAUACGACCUGAGGGGGAAAGCGGGGGAUCGCAAGACCUCGCGCGAUUGGAGUGGCCGAUGUCAGAUUAGCUAGUUGGUGGGGUAAAGGCCUACCAAGGCGACGAUCUGUAGCUGGUCUGAGAGGAUGACCAGCCACACUGGGACUGAGACACGGCCCAGACUCCUACGGGAGGCAGCAGUGGGGAAUUUUGGACAAUGGGGGCAACCCUGAUCCAGCCAUGCCGCGUGAGUGAAGAAGGCCUUCGGGUUGUAAAGCUCUUUCGGCAGGAACGAAACGGUGGGCUCUAACAUAGUCCGCUAAUGACGGUACCUGAAGAAGAAGCACCGGCUAACUACGUG